rnacentral:rRNA from 1 species
UACGUAGGGUGCGAGCGUUAAUCGGAAUUACUGGGCGUAAAGCGUGCGCAGGCGGUUCGUUAAGUUCGUUGUGAAAGCCCCGGGCUCAACCUGGGAAUGGCAAUGGAAACUGGCGAGCUUGAGUGUGGCAGAGGGGGGUGGAAUUCCGCGUGUAGCAGUGAAAUGCGUAGAGAUGCGGAGGAACACCGAUGGCGAAGGCAGAUCUCUGGGCCGUAACUGACGCUGAGGAGCGAAAGCGUGGGGAGCGAACAGG